rnacentral:lncRNA from 1 species
UACAUCUAAGGCAAGAAGUUAGCAAAUAAAAAUAUAUAUAAAUGUUGUUCUAGCCAUUUUUAUCAUUUCAAAAUAAUUGUUAAUCAUAGUACAAUUCAAAUAUGCACUCGACAACCACUACUGGUCUACAAAUGGAUCCAAACAAGCUACGAAAGGCAGCUCAGGGAGCGACUCUUCAUUUUCCUCAUCAUCUGGGGUGAAAUG